UGAGGAAUAUUGGACAAUGGAUGGAAAUCUGAUCCAGCCAUGCCGCGUGCAGGAAGACGGCCCUAUGGGUUGUAAACUGCUUUUGUAUGGGAGCAAUAAGGACUACGUGUAGUUUGAUGAGAGUACCCUACGAAUAAGCAUCGGCUAACUCCGUGCCAGCAGCCGCGGUAAUACGGAGGAUGCGAGCGUUAUCCGGAUUUAUUGGGUUUAAAGGGUGCGUAGGCGGCGAUAUAAGUCAGUGGUGAAAUAUUUCGGCUUAACCGAGGGACUGCCAUUGAUACUGUGUUGCUAGAAUAUGGUUGCUGUGAGUGGAAUGUGUGGUGUAGCGGUGAAAUGCUUAGAUAUCACACAGAAUAUCGAUUGCGAAGGCAGCUCACAAAGCCAUUAUUGACGCUGAGGCACGAAAGUGUGGGGAUCAAACA
rnacentral:rRNA from 1 species